UAAUGUCAUUGAUAAAAUAAAUAUUAAUAUUUACGUUUAAUGCAGCUUUGGGAACAUAAUAUUUUAAAUAUGAAUUUAUAUCACACUUGCACAAAUGCUUCAUGGUGUUAUUAGGUGCUUUGCUCUGAGUUUGUUGUCCAUAAUUGGGGCAUGUUCACCACAGGUUUUGGUCAAACCAACUUAUGUGAACGAGUCUUCAUUGAUACCACGAGUGGUGAAUGGCUACGAUGCCUCCUUGGGCGAUGUACCCUAUCAGAUAAGUUUCAAAAGACUGAUGGACAUGCAAACUAAAAGUUGCUGGUCAUUUUGUGGCGGAGUUAUCAUCGGGCCUUCGAAGUUGGUAUCCGCGGCUCAUUGUUUUAGGACCAGCCAAUUCAGCUGUUGCAGUGAUUCUGUUUUUCACAUAGAAUACAAACUCAAGGGCAUAUAUCGCAAUUUUUCGCUGUGGCCGGCACCCUGUUGAACAAGGAUGUGUACAAAUCCAAAGACAACCCGUCAGAUGCACAAUGGAGGAGGUUAAAGAUGGUCAUCUCACCCUCAACUUACAAGUUUCCCAGGGAUGAUAUCGCAAU